ACAUCUGUGCAGAAGGAGGCACAUCCUGGAGGAAGCAUUUCCCCAUGGGCAGCCCCUGCAGCAGGAAGGAAGGCAAAGCCAGACACGGGCACAGGCACAGCAGAUGCAGCCGGCACCACAACACGUGUUCCUGAUGCCCAGAAGGGCCUCGGAAGGGUCUUUUAUAUGGGAACAGGCUGCUGGGCAGGGGUAAUGGCAGGCCUGCUUCUUUUGGACCUAAUUCUCAUAUUGUGCUGUGUCAAAAUCUGGUGUUACUGGAAGAAGAAAUGGAGCACCUCUGGUGCUAGUCCAGCCAAAUACCUCAGUCAUGGAGAACUUGGCCUGUCAUCGUGCAUCUCCGUGCCAGUGUCCAUUGUCCCUUCCACAGGUGUAUUACCAGCUUGUAGCUGGAAGUAUGCUACAACCACUGCCUAGAACAGAUCCGUCUCUCCCUGAAGGGACUGGCCUAGCUGCCCAUCCAGGACAGGAGGUGCAGCCCUCUAGCCAGGGAAUAGAUUAUUUGAAAGGUUAUAUUUACUUGUAAAAAUUUUAGAUGUUUAUUAAAAACCUUAUUAGAAA